rnacentral:SRP_RNA from 1 species
UGCUGGUUACUUCGCAAUGUCACUUUGUAAACCCCGCCAGGACCGGAAGGUAGCAACGGUAGCAAUUAUGACAUGUGCCGAAGCUUUGCUAGUGGGG